rnacentral:rRNA from 1 species
UACAGAGGUCCCGAGCGUUGUUCGGAUUCACUGGGCGUAAAGGGUGCGUAGGUGGCAUGGUAAGUUUGAUGUGAAAGCUCAGGGCUUAACCCUGAAAUGGCAUUGAAUACUACUGUGCUGGAGGUUUGGAGGGGGGACUGGAAUUCUUGGUGUAGCAGUGAAAUGCGUAGAUAUCAGGAGGAACACCGGUGGCGAAGGCGGUUCUCUGGGCAUUACCUGACGCUGAGGAGCGAAAGUGUGGGGAGCGAACAGG